GGUUAAGCGACUAAGCGUACACGGUGGAUGCCUAGGCAAUCAGAGGCGAUGAAGGACGUGCUAAUCUGCGAUAAGCGUCGGUAAGGUGAUAUGAACCGUUACAACCGACGAUUUCCGAAUGGGGAAACCCAGUGCAAUUCGUUGCACUAUCGUUUGAUGAAUACAUAGUCAAACGAAGCGAACCGGGGGAACUGAAACAUCUCAGUACCCCGAGGAAAAGAAAUCAACCGAGAUUCCCCUAGUAGCGGCGAGCGAACGGGGA
rnacentral:rRNA from 1 species